ensembl:lncRNA
CUUUUAUUACUUUAUACCGUAUGGACGCAUUUUAAUCACGGAAUAGAUACGAUAAUAAGUCUACUAUGGAUGAGGAGAGAGAAGAGGGGGGUCCUACCUCUAAGACCACUCUGUCUGGGGAACAUGGCCGCCGGAGCAAAGCUAAGAGCCCAGAGAAGCAGGAGAGAACAGACCCCCUGGACCCAGCUGUGUCUCCAUGAAGAGUGGCUGGUCUAUGGAUCCACCUGUUAGUUUUAAAGAUGGAAAUCAGUCUAUCAAGAAGAGAAGAGUCCAGCAGGAGAGAGCAGACUCCCCUGGACCCAGCUGUGUCUCCAUGAAGAGUGGCUGGUCUAUGGAUCCACCUGUUAGUUUUAAAGAUGGAAAUCAGUCUAUCAAGAAGAGAAGAGUCCAGCAGGAGAGAGCAGACUCCCCUGGACCCAGCUGUGUCUCCAUGAAGAGUGACUGGUCUAUGGAUAUACCAUUGGUGUUUAAAGAUGGACGUUCCUCCAGCGAGGAGAGGUAGGGUUCAAACAGACGAUGAAAACAGACCACUUGGUUGUUUUCAGACUACUGAUAUCUACGUGUGUGUGUGUGUGUGUGUGUGUGUGUGUGUGUGUGUGUGUGUGUGUGUGUGUGUGUGUGUGUGU